GUUUCGUGCGUCUGGGGAUCAUUCGAUAAAACUGGAACGACACUGAGAUGACUAGCAUGGCCCCUGCCCAAGAUGACAUGCACAUGCCCCAUGUUA
rnacentral:snRNA from 1 species